GGCAUCAGGGUGCUGGUCGGCAGAAAUGCCGCACUGGUGCGACUGGUGUCUUACCUCCGUUGGCGGAGGCAUGUUCUUGACUGAGUGUGCCUUCGUCCCGGACUCGGUUACUUUGACGAAAUUAGAGUGCUCAAAGCAGGCAUGUUCGCCUGAAUACAUUAGCAUGGAAUAACACAAUAGGACAGUGGCCCUAUUUUGUUGGUUUUAGGACCGCCGUA
rnacentral:rRNA from 1 species